rfam:Picea glauca, whole genome shotgun sequence.
AGAGUGUUACUCAGCCAAGAAUGACUUGCCCGCAUACUGCUGUGCAUUAUUGUUCCACAAACGCAUUACAGUCUUGCGGGCAAGUUGUUCUUGGCAAAGCGUCCCUCUCU